GGCCGGUUAGCUCACUUGGUUACAGAAUCGUGCUAAUAACGCGAAUGUUAUGGGUUCGUGUCCCACAAUGGUCA
rnacentral:tRNA from 1 species